rnacentral:rRNA from 1 species
AGUGAACGCUGGCGGUAGGCCUAACACAUGCAAGUCGAACGGCAGCACAGUAAGAGCUUGCUCUUACGGGUGGCGAGUGGCGGACGGGUGAGGAAUAAAUCGGAAUCCACUUUUUCGUGGGGGAUAACGUAGGGAAACUUACGCUAAUACCGCAUACGACCUACGGGUGAAAGCAGGGGAUCUUCGGACCUUGCGCGAUUGAAUGAGCCGAUGUCGGAUUAGCUAGUUGGCGGGGUAAAGGCCCACCAAGGCGACGAUCCGUAGCUGGUCUGAGAGGAUGAUCAGCCACACUGGAACUGAGACACGGUCCAGACUCCUACGGGAGGCAGCAGUGGGGAAUAUUGGACAAUGGGCGCAAGCCUGAUCCAGCCAUACCGCGUGGGUGAAGAAGGCCUUCGGGUUGUAAAGCCCUUUUGUUGGGAAAGAAAAGCAGCAGGUUAAUACCCCGCUGUUCUGACGGUACCCAAAGAAUAAGCACCGGCUAACUUCGUG